AUGUCAGCCGCCGCGGUAAUACGAAGGGGGCUAGCGUUGCUCGGAAUCACUGGGCGUAAAGGGCGCGUAGGCGGCCAUUCAAGUCGGGGGUGAAAGCCUGUGGCUCAGCCACAGAAUUGCCUUCGAUACUGUUUGGCUUGAGUUUGGUAGAGGUUGGUGGAACUGCGAGUGUAGAGGUGAAAUUCGUAGAUAUUCGCAAGAACACCAGUGGCGAAGGCGGCCAACUGGACCAAUACUGACGCUGAGGCGCGAAAGCGUGGGGAGCAAACAGGAUUAGAAACCCUGGUAGUCC
rnacentral:rRNA from 1 species